GGGGGUAAAGGCCUACCAAGGCGUCGAUCCGUAGCUGGUUUGAGAGGACGACCAGCCACACUGGGACUGAGACACGGCCCAGACUCCUACGGGAGGCAGCAGUGGGGAAUUUUGGACAAUGGGGGCAACCCUGAUCCAGCCAUCCCGCGUGUGCGAUGAAGGCCUUCGGGUUGUAAAGCACUUUUGGCAGGGAAGAAAAGGCUCUGUCUAAUACCUGGAGCUGCUGACGGUACCUGCAGAAUAAGCACCGGCUAACUACGUGCCAGCAGCCGCGGUAAUACGUAGGGUGCAAGCGUUAAUCGGAAUUACUGGGCGUAAAGCGUGCGCAGGCGGUUCGGCAAGAAGGAUGUGAAAUCCCAGGGCUUAACCUUGGAACUGCAUUCUUAACUGCCG
rnacentral:rRNA from 1 species